rnacentral:rRNA from 1 species
GAUGAACGCUAGCGGCAGGCUUAACACAUGCAAGUCGAGGGGUAGGUUACUUCGGUAACUGAGACCGGCGCACGGGUGCGUAACGCGUAUACAAUCUACCUUUUACAGAGGGAUAGCCCAGAGAAAUUUGGAUUAAUACCUCAUAGUAUUUUCGGAUCGCAUGAUUUGAUUAUUAAAGUUCCAACGGUAAAAGAUGAGUAUGCGUCCCAUUAGCUAGAUGGUAAGGUAACGGCUUACCAUGGCAACGAUGGGUAGGGGUCCGUGAGAGGGAGAUCCCCACACUGGUACUGAGACACGGACCAGACUCCUACGGGAGGCAGCAGUGAGGGAAUAUU